rnacentral:rRNA from 1 species
UACGGGGGGGGCGAGCGUUGUUCGGAAUUACUGGGCGUAAAGGGCGCGUAGGCGGUGCUCUAAGUCGGAUGUGAAAACUCUGGGCUCAACCCAGAGCCUGCAUCCGAAACUGGAGUGCUAGAGUUCUGGAGGGGGUAGCGGAAUUCCUGGUGUAGCGGUGAAAUGCGUAGAUAUCGAGAGGAACACCAGUGGCGAAGGCGGCUUCCUGGCCUGUAACUGACGCUGAGACGCGAAAGCGUGGGGAGCGAACCGG